rnacentral:rRNA from 1 species
GUAGGUGGCAAGCGUUGUCCGGAAUUAUUGGGCGUAAAGCGCGCGCAGGUGGGUUCUUUAAGUCUGAUGUGAAAGCCCCCGGGCUCAACCGGGGAGGGUCAUUGGAAACUGGGGAACUUGAGUGCAGGAGAGGAAAGUGGAAUUCCACGUGUAGCGGUGAAAUGCGUAGAUAUGUGGAGGAACACCAGUGGCGAAGGCGACUUUCUGGCCUGUAACUGACACUGAGGCGCGAAAGCGUGGGGAGCAAACAGGAUUAGAUACCCUGGUAGUCCACGCCGUAAACGAUGAGUGCUAAGUGUUGGGGGGUUUCCGCCCCUCAGUGCUGCAGCUAACGCAUUAAGCACUCCGCCUGGGGAGUACGGUCACAAAGACUG